ACAGCCCUUCGGGGUCUUUGCUUUCUGCUAGUGUCUGUGGGGUUUUCUGAACAUUGCAGGCUGGUCAGUGGACAUGACCCAAUAGGGGUUGGCCAGGAGGGGACAGGGGCUUGGAAACCUCAGGGAUUGGGGAGACCCCAUGGUUUUUCUGAUGCUUCUCUGGACUUCAUUCAAUGCCAGGAGUGUCUGAUGGACAGCCUGAACUCCUGAAAAAGGCAGACCCUGGGCCAGGGGUUUGAAGGGUUUGGGCAAGACGGCUAGAAGGGACUGGGGACUCUUUGUGCCUAGAGGACAAUUUGAUUCAAAAUAGGAGAUCUUUAGUUUUUCCAAAUAUACUGUUUGUGGAAUAGUUUGAGGCUAGCACAGUGUCUGUAGAACCACAGGGACACUGCAUGUAGAGUGCUAAAUGGGAUACUGUUUUUAGAAUUAUGAGGUAUGUUCUGCACUAGAUUUGGACUUAAAAUUCUGUAUCGGUUAGAAAAACUGUUGCUCCAGUGAGCGAAUCUAUCAAGGAAGGGUGCAGUUGUUGUCUUGAUGGUCUUCCAAAGUCUUCUAGGGACCAUGCGCCCAGUCCUCCUGAAUAUGACUUUCUUAGGGAGCUUUGCUUUGUGAGGACGGUUUCUAAGAGAAAAUGAUUUAUUCAUUGUAAGAGGCAUGCUUGCUAAAUAUUAAAAAGAGGGGGUACCUUUGUUUGUUUCCCUGAGGAAAACAGUCAAGAAAAGGUUAUUUAAAAUUUUGAGAGAUUUUCAAGUAUGUUAGCUAAAAAAUGGCAAAGUAUUUAAAAAUCUUAUCACUCAAGUAACAGCCAGGAGUCGUGUCUUUCUGGAAUUGAUAGGUUUUUGGGGCUAGGUUAGGCAAGAAAUAGCAAAAUGUGGUAGUCUUUUCCCCCAAUUCAAAAUUGAGUUUUGUUGCUAAGAAAUCAAACUUGUUUUUAAAAAUUAAUUGAACAAAUGUGACUUGAGUUGGAAGUCAAGAUGGCUGCAGAGGGGUCUCGGACACCUGCAGCAGGUGGCAGGAAGCAGGUCACACAGGGAGUCUAUUUUCGGAAACAAGAAAACAGCGUUGGUAAAUUUAUAGUUCAUGGUUUUGAAGAAGUGGUUUUCAUAUAGCUGAAAGUGUCCCACUGUGAAAAACAACACCUGGGAAAUUUGCAUUUCUAAAAUAAGGCUCAGAUGCUGACUGGAGAGAUGAAACUUGAGUUCCUUUUUUAACUAGCUGAAUUUAAUUUUUCAGUCUUAGCUUAUCAACUUCUAAUUUAGAUUCAUUUUUCAAAGGAAGGCAUUUAAGACAUGAAACAGUCAGGUAUGGUUUAUGAAUGCAUCAAUAUAACUUUUUAAUUACUCUGUUAUUUAGUAUUUUUCAAAUUCUUUUAUUGUUGUAAAAAAUUGGCAACAUUGGCCAAUUCAACAUUUUUCAUACGUACAGUCCAGGGAGUUCAAUUCCAUCAACCCUGCUGUGCAACAAUCACCGAUACAUUUGAAUAUUUUUGAAGACCACUCUUUAAGUAUUAAUUUCAGGAUUAAAAUUUUGAAUUCAAGAUAUAUAUACAUAUUUUAACUUUAGGUUUAAUUACAGGCGAAGUGAGUAUGUUUGUGCUGAAUUAUUUCAAUUAAACAUGUUAGUUGGUGAAUUAUUGAAAAGUGAGCCAGAGAGCACGUGAGAAAGGAACUUUGGAACAAAAGACUUUUGAAGUGCAGGUGCUGUUUUUGAUAACUGGCCUGGUUCCUGAGUUGAAGAAAAGUCCUUGGUGAGGGGCUAUGUGUGGGUCCACCACGGCCUGGCCCUGGCCGUGCAGUCUCCCAGGACCAUCUGGGACUGGAAACAUGCAAUCCUGGCUUUUGCCACCAAUAGCCAACCUGGCUAUUCAUGAACUAGCAGUUUUUUCAAUGAAUUUGGAGGGAUUAUUCAAUGCCAAAGAGCCUCAAGGGACUUGGGAGUGACCAGACAACAGAGAAGCCUCAACCACGGCCCCAUCAGUCUUUCCCCUGGCCCCCGGCUGUGGGACCACACCCGAAUCCAAGGUGGCCCUGGCCUGCCUGGUCGCCAACUACUUCCCAGAGCCAGUGAUGGUGUCCUGGAACUCUGGAGCCCUGCCUGGUGCACACACCUUCCCGGCCGUCCUGCAGUCGUCUGGCCUGUACUCCCUCAAUAGCAUGGUGACCGUGCCUGCCAGCAGCUGGACCAGCCAGACCUACAUCUGCAACGUCGCCCACCCAGCCAGCAACACCAAGGUGGACAAGAAGAUCGUGCCACGCCAAGCAAAAGACACAUGCACAUGCCCAGCUCCUCAGCUCCUGGGAGGACCCUCUGUCUUCAUCUUCCCCCCAAAGCCCAAGGACACCCUCAUGAUCACCCGAACCCCCGAGGUGACAUGCCUGGUGGUAGAUGUUGGCCAGGAAGACAUGAAGGUCCAGUUCACCUGGUACAUAGAUAACAAGCAGGUGAGCACAGCCAAGACCAGCCAGCCGGAGAAGCAAUCCAACAGCACGUACCGUGUGGUCAGUGUACUCCCCAUCUCGCACCAAGACUGGCUCAAGGGCAAAGAGUUCAAGUGCGAGGUCACCAAUACUGCCCUCCCAUCACCUGUCAAGAAGGUCAUCUCCAAGGCCAAAGGCCAGCCCCGUGAGCCACAGGUGUAUCCCUUGCCCCCACACCGAGAUGAGUUGACCAAGGACAAGGUCAGCCUCACAUGCCUGGUGAAGGGAUUCUACCCCUCUGACAUUGAUGUUACAUGGCAAAAGAACCAGCAACCAGAGCCUGAGAACAGCUAUGCGAACACUGAAGCCCAGGUCGAGGCUGAUGGGACCUUCUUCCUGUACAGCAAGCUCACAGUGCCCAAGAAUAGCUGGCAGCAAGGAAACACCUACUACUGCGUGGUUCUGCACGAGGCACUGCACAACCACCACACCCAGAAGGCCGUCUCCCUGUCUCCCGAGCUACAUCUGGAUGAGAGCUGUGCGGAGGCUCAGGAUGGGGAGCUGGACGGGCUAUGGAACACCAUCUCCAUCUUCAUCACGCUCUUCCUGCUCAGCGUGUGCUACAGUGCCACCGUCACCCUCUUCAAGGUCAAGUGGAUCUUCUCCUCGGCGGUGGAGCUGAAGCGGAACAUCGUCCCCGACUACAGGAAUAUGAUCGGGCAGGCUGCCUAGGGGCUACUGAGAGAGGAACACAUAGGAGCCGAACCCACCACAGGCUUCAGUGGCUCCAACCUCCACCCAAGCUCUACCCUGCCCUCUGGCCCCACCGUUUCAGACACCUCACUGCCCUCUGACCAUGCUAUCUCAUAUCCCUCCUGUCAGAGAACCUGGUGGACAGCAGGUUCUCCCACAGACUCAGCAGCCUGGAUGCCCUGCUACCCCAUACCUAAAUAGCAUUUACAGCAGCACCAGAAGUGCCAUUGGAGUCACCGCACUAGGAGACCCUCAGAAUCAGCUGUGCACGUCCAUUCUGGAGGAGGGGAUGGGCCAGUAUUCCCCAUGUCCAUUUGGAGCAGGGACCUGAGUUCAAACCCCACCCCAGGCCUGGCUCAGAAAGACACCAAAUCUCAAAGAUCCUUGGUGGGGACAUCAUGCACCAAGGCAGGGGAGCCACUGAUCAUCAACCUCAAAAGGGAUACUCCUUGAGAAGUGCUGCAACCUUCACUGAAUGGCCCUUCCUCCAGCCCUCACCUGGCCAGUUCCACCCUGGGAGACCGCAGGGAUUCCCCCACCACUUCUAUGGCCCUGGCCUGAGGAAGAGGUUCCUUUUCAUUUUGAAUGGGAGACUUGGUCUCUGGCUCUUGGGAAAGGGCUUUCCAUCCAAUCCUGGCCUCCUACAAAGUGCUCUUAUAUAUGGGGCUCAACCCAAGGGACAGAACCUCUGCCUGCAUGGUGGCCAAGUGAGGAGCUUGGCCCAGGAUACCCACCAUCUCCCAGCCACCAACCCAGUUCCAGCUAAAGGCCCAGCCUCGCCACCACACAAGAGACCACCUGAGAAGGCCUGGGCCAUAGCCAUGGACACUGCAGUGUCUAGAGGGUACAAGGGCAGGGCUCCUGGGGUGAGGAUGGGCAUCUGUGCCAAACAGGAAGGGCAUCAGGUCUGAGGGGCUAGUGGCCAGACAGCCUGCUAGAAAGAGGCCUGGUGACCAGUGCCAUAGUGGUCAGGGCAUGCCAUGGGAGGCCUCAUCCUUGGGCCUCUGGACAGAGGUGGCCGAAGACAAAGAGAAUGGAAGAGAGGAAAAUGACCAGAUACUGGGAGUGGGCAUCUGGCCAACAAGACUCUGAUGGGAAACCGGGCCAGCCCAGCCACAGGCACUGCACAGAGGUCCCGGGGCCAAGCAUUGCCACCCCUCUGGGCUCUCUGUCUCCCAUCUUCCCUUCCAGCAAAUACUCAGCAGAGUCACACCACAAAGGAACCAGAGUGCUGAGCCCGCAUCUUAAGGUGGGAAGAAGAAUGAUGCAAAUGGAAGCAAAUCACACCAAAGAAAUGCCACAUCCAUCAGCUCUGUAGCUUCUUACCUCUUUUUAAUUUUCUGAAUUUCCUUGAUUUUCUUUCAUGUAAAUGUGUUGUUCUUGUUUUUUAAUUACAAUAAAAUGGACUUACAGUGUA